rnacentral:lncRNA from 1 species
GCCGAACGGACAGGGUUUCCCCUGUACUGCGGACAGAGUCUCCCCUGUACAUUCAAGGCAACGCAAUCGAUACAAUUACAAAAGGUUCCAAACAGGAACAGUAUUCAACAUACAACGAUUGCAUAAGAAAGGUAUCAAACAACAUAAACACAUCCUAUGUUAUUACAUUCAUUCAUAUUCUUGCAUUUUACAUCUCAACUACCAUUCCUUUUUCAUCCAAAUGCAAUCUUAGUUAUUACAACAUUUAUAUCUAUAAUACAUUAUGUUACAUUGUGUUUCUUUUCAU